UACGGGGGGGAGCAAGCGUUGUUCGGAUUUACUGGGCGUAAAGGGCGCGUAGGCGGCCAUUCAAGUGACGGGUGAAAGCCCUCGGCUUAACCGAGGAACUGCCUGUCAGACUGGAUGGCUUGAGACCGGGAGAGGUGAGUGGAAUUCCCAGUGUAGCGGUGAAAUGCGUAGAUAUUGGGAGGAACACCAGUGGCGAAGGCGGCUCACUGGCCCGAUACUGACGCUGAGGCACGAAAGCGUGGGGAGCAAACAGG
rnacentral:rRNA from 1 species